AGGUUUCCGAGCGACCUGGAAGUUAAAAUGAAAGCUACUCUACUGGGGGCCUGUGUUCUCAUUGACUGUUUGUAUUAUGAAAAGCCAUCAAAACCACUGUGUGCACUACUGUGAAGAGAUGUAUUCUGGCCUGCUUCAGAAAGAAGACAGAAGAAAGACAAAUGUCUGAUGACUACUUGCCAAAUUAUCCUCCAAUGAAGGCUGAAGAGAAAAGAAUCAUAGAACAGAAUAUGGCUUUAAAAAAAAAAAAAAAAAAAAAAAAAACUUUCUGAGAUUCAAAAGGUGACAAAUGACACAUUAUCAUCAGUUGAUUCAGUUUGUGGCUCUCUCUUAUAGAAAGGUGACACUGCGGUUGCAUGUGUUAUCUGAAAGGAAAGCAAACACAGCAGUAACCACAAACACAGACAGAUGAAGUUAUUAGUAGGUGCUGGUGAUGUGAAAAAACAAACAAACAACCACAACUGACUGGCUCUUUGGGUUUCUUGUCAUGGAAAAUACACAGAAAAUGUUCGUAUUUAAAAAUUAUUCUCUGCUGCCUUGAUGGCUAAAAUUAAUUGCACAGACAUGCAGUCCUAUAUAAAUGCUCUGUCGAUUUUCUUUUUUAUUCUUAAUGUGUUAUAAUACAUGCAUAAUGCCUUGUAAAUGACUUCGUUCUUGUGCAAUUUUUACCUAGGAAACCCGAUAGCAUGGGAAGGCAGUAACAACUGGAUGGUGUACUAUUCCCUACGAGUGC